GUGUACCCACCUCUGUUGCUUUGGCGGGCCGCGGUCCUCCGCGGCCGCCCUCCGUCCGGGGGGUGGCCAGCGCCCGCCAGAGGACCAUCAAACUCCGGUCAGUGAACGUUGCCGUCUGAAAAACAAUCAAUAAACUAAAACUUUCAACAACGGAUCUCUUGGUUCUGGCAUCGAUGAAGAACGCAGCGAAAUGCGAUAAGUAAUGUGAAUUGCAGAAUUCAGUGAAUCAUCGAAUCUUUGAACGCACAUUGCGCCCCUCGGUAUUCCGAGGGGCAUGCCUGUUCGAGCGUCAUUACAACCCUCAAGCUCUGCUUGGUGUUGGGCACCGCCCUUCCGCGGGCGCGCCUCAAAGACCUCGGCGGUGGCGUCUUGCCUCGAGCGUAGUAGAAAACACCUCGCUUUGGAGCGCACGGCGCCGCCCGCCGGACGAACCUUUUGAACUUUCUCAAGGUUGACCUCGGAUCAGGUAGG
rnacentral:rRNA from 1 species